ensembl:lncRNA
CACAGACCUUUCUUUGAGGUGUGAGUGUCAUUAGUCACCUUUGAAAAACUGAGUGUUUGAAAUAUUUGUUUUCAUGGCUCCACCUUGUUUGUUGUCAUGCUUUUGUUUGUGAUUCUUUGGUGAAAGAGAAACCACAGGUCAGAACGAGCUGCUGAAAACACACAUUCACAUUUAGAUACUGAGGAUUUUUAUUCUUGAAAAAAAGACCAUCUUAUGGAUAUUUCUCACACUUUUAAAGUGGAAAUGUUCUCUGUAACAUCUGCAUCUCUCUGCUGGACUUUACUUUUUGCUUACCUCCUCUGUGUCUCUGCAGACCAGAAAAACAUCAAAGCAGUGGUUGGACAGAUGGUCACUCUGCCAUGUCAAGCUCCAAAAAACAACAAGUCCAUCAUUGCUGCAGAGUGGAGCAGAAAUGAUCUGGGGGAUAAAUAUUUACUUUUGUACUGGAAAGAGCAGUUUGAUCCAACCAAACAGCAUCCAUCUUUCAAGAACCGGGUUGAUCUGCAGGACAUACAGAUGAAGGAUGGAGACGUGUCUUUGAUUCUGAAGGAAGUGACGACUGCGGACAGUGGAACAUACGAGUGUCGUGUUGUACAGAGAGGAACAAAUAUGGAUGAUGAAACCAUCAGCACCACCUACCUUAGAGUCGUUGCUCCAGGUCAAACAAGAAGACGCAGAGAGGCUGUUUCUGAUGGAGUGAUAAUUGGUCAGGGGGUUUAUAUUGCAGCUGUUUUUGUUGUUGGCUUGUUUAUCUUUUACAUAUGCUAUAGAAGAAUGAACCACAGGAUAAACUGAUGUUCUGAGGACAGACAGAAAUUAGCAGUGUGGAUAAUAAUGGGUCUUUGGUGGUGGCAAUAGUUACCACAGAUAAAGUUAAACAGUAAGUCUGUGUUAUAAAUUAGCAGAAAUGGGUACUCUCCCCAAAAUGCUAUGUAUAAUUUAUAAUUCAUAUAUUUUCUUUAAGCAUUUCUGACAAAAAUACUUUUUAAAUGUAUAUUUAAUUGUCACAUAGCGUCAUUGUUUCUAAUAAGAUUUUAUGUUGUAGAUCAUAUAUUUUUUGUUCAAUUUAAUUCAAUUUAGUGUUUUUAGAUCAAAAUCGUGACAACGGUUGCCUCAAGAUGCUUAUUACUGUAGGAUUGGGACCCUACAAUAAUACAAAGAAAAUCCCAACAAUCAUAUGACCCCCUGUGAGUAAGCAAUUGGUGACUGUGGGAAGGAGAAACUCACUUAACAGGAAGAAAUCUCCGUGUGAAGGCCUGUACACUCUGAUAUAGUGGUAGGCAGGGGAAGCAGCCAGACACAAAAAGGGUAAACAAUGAUAGUGAACAGACCAAACUGUUAGUGUCGGGUGCAUCAAUGAGAUGUGUAAUUACAUUUCCAGGAAGCUUCUCAACAAGUGAUUGUGUUAGUGAGUUGCAGUGUACUAUUUUACCAGAGUUUGCAGUUGCAGUGUAGAUUUAACACAUGAAUAUAAAUCCACAGUUACAUGGAAGACUCUCUUCUCUUCCUAUCUACAGGAUAGUGGAGAACUAACCCAUGUCCUGAACAACCUGUACAGGCGACUUCAAAUAAUAGUGAAGUAAAGAUGAGCAAGUCAAUGUGCUGUUAACAUGCUAACAAAAUAAACUGAACAUGCUAAACAACCUUUCUGCAUUAUAUCAGCAUGGUUUUGGCAUCACAUAACUCAGCUGUAACCUCUGUGUCUCUGUUCAGACCUGUGACUCUGAAAGUAUUUUAUGAAUGAAGGUGGAGUUUUGUAUGACUUUUUCAUGUUUUCAUGUUACAUAACAAACAUUUAGUUUCACAUUUUUUUAGUUUCUCUUUCAGUGUCACGAGAUUGGGUGGUGUAUCUGUGAACUUAACCACUUGGUCAGCAGUGCAGUUUUCACCACAGAGACAAAGAAGUGUUAAGCUGCCAUUGUAGCCUCGGCAGUGGUCACCAUCACACAGUUGCAGUCAGACACAUUUGUCUAUUUAAAGAAGCCAGACAGCUCAUCAAUCAAUCAACAAAAACAUUUAAUGCCUGAAUGAAUUCUCUGAAUGUUAAAAAUGUGAUCAGAGGCACCUCAAGAUGUCUGCAAGCCAACUGAAAGAUGAAUCUCUUCAGGAAGUCCUGGGUCUGCCCCAGGAGAACUUCCCCUAGUAAACACAGAAGGGUAACUGAUCACGGGCAGGGUGUAGGUGUUGAUAGCCUGGAUCUUGUUUUUCUUUUCAGUUGACUCCCAUUCACCUGUGGGAUCCCAGGUACUUGUAGCUGUCCUCUGUAUCUGCAAUGUUGCUUUCUGGUAGUUUGAUCCCCUCCAUUCUGACUACCUUCCCUCUCUUUGUUAUCUUCCAACUACAUUUCUCUGAACGACAUUCCUUUGUCAUUGCUGUAUAGCCUGGUAGUGUGGAUCAGUGAAUCGAUGUCUCGUUCACUCUUAGCAUACAGCUUGAUGUCAUCCAUGUACAUGAGGUGGCUGAUAACUGUUCCAUUCUGUAGUCGAUAUCCUUAGCCAUGUUGUCAGUGAUCUCACUGAGGGGGUUCAGGCCUAUGCAGAACAGCAGUAGGGACAGAGCAUCUCCUUGGUAAAUUCUGCACUUGAUGAUGACUUGUUCUAUGGGUUUGAAGUUGACCUCUAGUGCUGUUCACUACAUCAGUAGGGCUUUAGAGUGUGAUGUUGUGGCCAGGUUUUUAGGUUGAGGCGCCAUUUAAGCAGGCCAAACAAAGGGCAAAAGCAUACAGAUAAUAUCAGCCAUGGUCGGUAUUUGCUUUGUUGUUGGUUGUAAUGUUAGAUUGAAUGAUUGGGAAGAGAAUAAGCUGGAGAAUGGGAUCUCUUUUUAUCGUUUCCCCUCCUGAAAGCAACGUCAGGGAUCUCAUGUAUCAGAUAUUAACAAAUGAAGACGUCAGGCUUGGAUAGCAGAGGUGAGACGAACUGAUACCGAGUUCUCUACCAUCCGCAGAUUUCUGUUGGUGUGCUCAGACUUUUUGUUCCGGUAAGUUCUAAACAAAUUCAUAUUGCUCUUUAUGGGCUUUUAGUUUUAUUUUCAAUGUGCUGAGGUCAUAGAAAAAUAGAGCAAACAUCCUAAUGUGUGAUUCUGCAGAACUACAUUCUGUUUAUGGAGUAGCUUAUUAUUUAGCAUUAUUGCAGGUAAAUCAGCCUAUGAAAUGGAUGAAACAAAUCCAGACUGGGCACAUAGGGCAUAAUGUUAGACUUUAAGUGACACACAGUUCAUUUUUGAAUGUAUAAUCUCAAGCUGACUUACCUAUGGCUGAACAACAACCUCCUCACAAUGUGGAGGCUUAAAAACGGCCAAAUCUUGUACCCAAAAGUUUGUGAAUUAGAUGUGCGCCUCCAGGGAUUUAUAAUUCUGAAACUGAUUUGCCGUGUAUGCGUUGACUCUACAGACAAGGUACGUAAAGAUAUCAGGGUAGGACAAUGGCAGUAGGUCUUAAGGGUUUGUACUCCAGUGCCGUAUUUCAUACGGGUCCAUAUUAUCAGUGCACGCUAUUUUUUCCAAGUACCGUCCCUUCACAUCUGGGCGCAAUCGGUCUUGAUACAGUCCUUUGUCUUUUGAGCUGAUUUUAAGCAUGGUUCUAGUAAUCGUCCUUCCAACACAGUGUGUUUGUUUUGAUUCGUGGCCUGCUAAAAUGGUGCCAUACUCCCACAAUGCAUUGAGGCAUUAUGUCAACUGCAAGGCCCUAUAUUGAGUGAAGGCUCUUAGGGUCCUGUUGAUCUUGUACAGUUCAGGAUCCCGGUGUGGACCAUUAAGUUAUGAGUUUUCUUGUAGUCAGUUCAGGCAGUGCACAGGUUGGUCAGCCUGGUCUUGCAAUCUCGGGUGACUGCUCUGCACACACUUUUUUAUUUCAGUAACAAAAUGGAGUGAUCAGUGGCCCCGACAUCAUAUGUCACAACAAAGUGGAGCUCUCUCUCUCUCUCUCUAACCCUCGUUCUCUUUACUCCCUAAGUUUCUUCCCUGUCUCUCCUUUUCUCUGUGUGUAUGUUAUGUCUCUCUAUGUCACUGUCUCCUUGUUUCUGUCUGUUUGUCUUUCUUUGAUCUUUAUCUGCUGCGGGUGCUUAAGGCUCUACACCCUGGGGUUGAUUUACUGUUCUGUUUACUUGAUUUUUCUUGAUUUUUUUUCUUUGUGUAAAAGCUCAAAAAACUGUGUUUCAAAGACCUCUGAUUUUCUCCAGAGGAUGUUUUUUUGUGUAUGUUUUGUCUUUUUUAAUUUGGUUUUAAUAAGUUGAAUCUACAAGUGACAUGCCUGACCAAGUUUAUCAUUUUGGCUCUAGAUGUUUGAGCUGACAUCAAAGGGUGCAGACAGCACACACAGUCUUCAUCCUGACUGUAAUGUACACUAUGAUAGGGUUUCAUUUAAAAUCAACACGUGAGCAGCCCACAGCCAAUCUGUUAAUCUGUAAUUCUCACAACAUUUUUUUUCCUUUUUUAAAAAAAAAUUAAACUGAGACUUUUGCUGUAAAUGUCAUAAAUAACAGGAGAUGGCUGUGCAGGUAAAUUCAUUUUAUAAUCCACUUGAUUAUGGUGAUCUGGUUUAUAUACUGUUACAACAUUGAUCAUAGAUUAUAUCUAGUAAUUACUUUUAGGAUUAUAUCUAUAUAUAAUCUAGAUACUGUUACUGGAUAUAAUCAAAGAGCAGAGGUACCCAAAGAGUGUCUGCAACAGAGCCUUGAAAGUAAACGCCAUGAAAUACUGCCCUCUUCUGUUCACUGAGGAGGACUGAUACAGAAAUAUAAGAUACAGAAAUAAAGACCAAUAAAGAUUCAAGAGGCUUCAAGGGGAAGAGACAUGUAAUGACACUUUCAUGGUCACGGGACACUUUAACAUUGGGUGCACAUCUUGUUCAGACUUAAUUUGAAAAAAAAAAAAAAGUAUUAAAUUAUCUGCUGCACAAAGCAAAGCAUUCUCUGUAUAUAUUUAUUUAGCUGCAGCUGCCUUUGUAUAUAUUCUGUUGAUCUCUGAACAUGAACAUAUACUGUGUUUCUAAAUGAUGCAUUUAUCAACCACUCUAGUUAAACUUUAUAUCUUUUUUAUCUUGAAAAAAAAGUUUAAGAUUUAAUAAUCCCAAAGAUUUUUGACUGCACAUGUUAUUAAUAAAAAAUGAUGCAAAAUCUGUAAGGUUUACAGAGAUUAUGUACAAGCUGUUAUUUAUGAUCCCAAAGGGAUACAUAUCAGACUAAAGUUUGUAAAAUAGCAUUCAUAUGAAUGUCUCUAUGUAGAGGACACUGAACAGGAAGGAGGGGUUAUCGUCUGACACAAGAAAAGAUUUCUACUUGUCAGUAAAGUGUUGCUCUGAAUGUGCAGCAGUCAGGCUGUACUAAACUAUAGUGACAUCAUUUCUGUCUCUAGUAAGACGACCUGCCAGUUAUGUAUCUUUAAACUAAAUUUGAACCCUUUAGUUUUGCAGUUUCCUUCUCUCUGUUUCUUUUCACCUGCUGGUGUCUGAAUACUAGAAAGAUUAGGCUUGAUUGAUCACUACACUCACUUCUGUUGAAAAAUCUAAAUAAGUAUAAACCCUAUUAGCCAAGAAACAAGGUGCAUAAUAUAUAUAUGAGCAAAUAAAAAGACCAGCAAAAAACACAUACACACGGGUACGCACACACACAGGCACUCACGUGCUUGUGCAUACACACACAGACACAGAGUUUGCAGCACACCAUGGGGGUUUUAUGAUGGGGUCACUUCUAUAAAGCUGACUGUAACAAAUAAAGGAGUGGAAGAUCUGCAGAGGG